GUGAGUCUCCAUCCCCUCACAUGCAACUCAGGGACUGGGCCAGGUCUCUGAGGAUGCCCACGGUACCCCCAACUGGAGCCCUGCCUUUACCUGCCUGGGGUCCCAGGCCGGGCUGCCAGUCUGCUGCACCGUGUGCACGUCCGCCUGGCCACACCUGAGUGUCCAUUGUGCGCGCACACGCACACGCACGUACACACGCACACCCCUUAGGAGAUGAAGGGUCAGAGAGCAGGUGCUCAGGACCAGCACCUGUUACAGGUCUGGGGCAGCUGCUGCAGUGGGACUGGGACUUCGUGGGACCCACGGACACGGCGGGGGCCGGUGGAGGACCUGCAGGGCACCUUGCUGAGGAGUGAGCUAAGGAGAGGCAGGAAGGCGAGAAUACCACGCUCCCCCGAUCUCCAUUUCCUCGUCUCUGAAACAGAAGCAGCGACGCUAGACCCACGCCCCUCACGGGACAGCAAGUGUCCCACAAGUAAUAGCAGCUGGCAUUCCCGUGUGCCACGUUGGGGACCAUGCAAAGUGCUCGUUACUUAAUGUCACAACUCCAAGCUUUAGGGAAAGAAGAGAAUCAAGCAUGGAAGGAGAAAGAAAAGACAAAACUACAAAAAGAAAACAGAUAAGCCUGCUACUGGAGUUGCAGACUUCAGCACCCCUGCCUGACAG